ACUCGUGGCAAAAAAAAGAGGGAAAAAUAAAAAAUAAAAACAACAACGAAGAAAGGGCAAUGUGCGUGUCGUGUGUUGUUGUUUAAGUGAUCAAUCACAUCGAUAUCUUGUGCCUUCUUUCUUCAACUUCCCUUCUCCUCCAUGUGCGCUA
rnacentral:ribozyme from 16 species